rnacentral:rRNA from 1 species
AUUGAACGCUGGCGGCAGGCCUAACACAUGCAAGUCGAGCGGAUGAAGGGAGCUUGCUCCUGGAUUCAGCGGCGGACGGGUGGGUAAUGCCUAGGAAUCUGCCUGGUAGUGGGGGAUAACGUCCGGAAACGGGCGCUAAUACCGCAUAAGUCCUGAGGGAGAAAGUGGGGGAUCUUCGGACCUCACGCUAUCAGAUGAGCCUAGGUCGGAUUAGCUAGUUGGUGGGGUAAAGGCCUACCAAGGCGACGAUCCGUAACUGGUCUGAGAGGAUGAUCAGUCACACUGGAACUGAGACACGGUCCAGACUCCUACGGGAGGCAGCAGUGGGGAAUAUUGGACAAUGGGCGAAAGCCUGAUCCAGCCAUGCCGCGUGUGUGAAGAAGGUCUUCGGAUUGUAAAGCACUUUAAGUUGGGAGGAAGGGCAGUAAGUUAAUACCUUGCUGUUUUGACGUUACCAACAGAAUAAGCACCGGCUAACUUCGUG